UACGAAGGGGGCUAGCGUUGCUCGGAAUUACUGGGCGUAAAGCGCACGUAGGCGGCUUAUUAAGUCGGGGGUGAAAUCCUGGAGCUCAACUCCAGAACUGCCUUCGAUACUGAUGAGCUCGAGUUCGGGAGAGGUGAGUGGAACUGCGAGUGUAGAGGUGAAAUUCGUAGAUAUUCGCAAGAACACCAGUGGCGAAGGCGGCUCACUGGCCCGAUACUGACGCUGAGGUGCGAAAGCGUGGGGAGCAAACAGG
rnacentral:rRNA from 1 species